GAUGAACGCUGGCGGCGUGCCUAAUACAUGCAAGUCGAGCGAACAGAUGAGGAGCUUGCUCCUCUGACGUUAGCGGCGGACGGGUGAGUAACACGUGGAUAACCUACCUAUAAGACUGGGAUAACUUCGGGAAACCGGAGCUAAUACCGGAUAAUAUAUUGAGCCGCAUGGUUCAAUAGUGAAAGACGGUUUUGCUGUCACUUAUAGAUGGAUCCGCGCCGCAUUAGCUAGUUGGUAAGGUAACGGCUUACCAAGGCAACGAUGCGUAGCCGACCUGAGAGGAUGAUCAGUCAAACUGGAACUGAGACACGGUACAGACGCCGACGGGAGGCAGCAGUGGGGAGGAUUGGAAAAGGGGCGAAAGCCUGAUACAGCCAUGCCGCGUGUGUGAAGAAGGUCUUCGGAUUGUAAAGCACUUUAAGUUGGGAGGAAGGGCAGUAAGCUAAUACCUUGCUGUUUUGACGUGAGCAAAAGAAUAAGCACCGGCUAACUUCGUG
rnacentral:rRNA from 1 species